rnacentral:rRNA from 1 species
UGGGGAAUAUUGGACAAUGGGCGCAAGCCUGAUCCAGCCAUGCCGCGUGUGUGAAGAAGGCCUUCGGGUUGUAAAGCACUUUUGUCCGGAAAGAAAAGCUUAGGGUUAGUAACCCUGAGUCAUGACGGUACCGGAAGAAUAAGCACCGGCUAACUUCGUGCCAGCAGCCGCGGUAAUACGAAGGGUGCAAGCGUUACUCGGAAUUACUGGGCGUAAAGCGUGCGUAGGUGGUUUGUUAAGUCUGAUGUGAAAGCCCUGGGCUCAAUCUGGGAAUGGCAUUGGAAACUGGCUUACUAGAGUGCGGUAGAGGGUAGCGGAAUUCCCGGUGUAGCAGUGAAAUGCGUAGAUAUCGGGAGGAACAUCUGUGGCGAAGGCGGCUACCUGGACCAGCACUGACACUGAGGCACGAAAGCGUGGGGAGCAAAC